CCGAGUUCCACACGGAGCACUGCAGGAGAGCAGUCUGUCAGCCUAAGUGACUGAGUCUGUCAGCCUAAGUGACUAUGUAUAGUGGAGAUGCUGAGCUGGACUGCAUGAAACAUUUAGGUUGAGAAAGCACUAGAAAAAAAAUAACAACAACUUCUGUUGCAUUAAGCCAUAGAAUGUUGGGGGUGUUGUCAUCUCAGCAUAACCUACCCUAUGCUGACAGAUACAAGUAAAAGAAAACAAAAUGCAAAAAAGAAGAAGUGGAAGAGUUAGAUAUUUGUAGACAAAAAGAAAACAGCAACAGUGAAUUUAGUCUACAGUAGACAAAUUUUGGGGCUUCUUGAUGGAUGUUUUUGGAGUUUAAUCUCAACUCUACCACUUACUAUCUGUGUGAUAUGGAGUUUCUUAACCUCCCUGAUCCUCAGUUCCCUCAUCUGCAAAACAGAAAAAUCAAGUGAUACUGACUUUCUGGAGUUGUUGCAUAGAUGAAAGUUAAAUGAGAUAAUUUAUGUGUAAGCACCUUACCUGUCAUGCUGUGGGUGCCCAAUGAAUGAUGAUUAAAUGAGUGAAUGAAUGGAAAGAAGUCACAGGUGAAGCCAGGAAGGGCAGAGGUGGAGGAAGCCAUGGAGUUAGAGAAUGCCUCCAAUUGCUAAGCAGGCCCUUGCUCUGAAUCUCCCAAGUCUGUCACUGUGCAUUGUAAUUUAGUAAAUCAUUUCAUGCAGUGGAGUGUUUGCUUAUCCAAUCAAGAAGUGGAUUUAUGCCUAAUUCUGGCGGCUUCUCUGCAAAGUGUUGUGAGCUUCAGAGGCUCCCCAGCUUGGGAGCCAGAUUGCCGCAUAGUGAUUUAUGUGAUCGGGGAGGCUGGCCCCACAGCCAUGAGCAUAGGGCAUAAAUCUGAGGCAUGCAGUGAGCCCUGAUUCGGUCUGGCACACCUUGGCAAAGCACCAGGUACGAGCUCCUACUCACCUACUGCAGAUCCUUGAUGUUAUAAUGCAAAGGGUGAGGGCAAGGCGGAGGCUCUGAGGCUGCUCAGUCUCAUUUAUUCAUUCGUUAUUCAACCAGUAAUUCUUGAGCAUCCUGUAAGUGCCAGGCCCUGUGCAUGGUGCUUGGGAUAACCCCAGCUCUCCUGAGUCUCAUAUUCUGGCAAAUAACUGUAUUGCAAUGUGAGAAGUGCUGUGAUGAGGGAAACACAAUUUACUGUGGCGCAGAGGGUGGCAUCUAAGCUAGUCUUGGAGCAUGAGAGUUGACUUUCCAGAAGAGAGGAUCUCUAAACUGAGACAUAAAGGACACUUCUAGGAAGGGGGAAUGGCAUUUGCAAAAUCAAGGAAAUGAGUGGCAGAAUGAAAAAGAGAGAAGAUAGAAAAUUCUGGAGCAGAAAGUCAUUUGGUAAGGCAGAAGACUAGAAGUGGAGUGAGUGGGUGGUGAGAGAAGAAGCUGGAGGGGCGGCAGGGGUCUGAUGGUAGAGACCUCUCAGACUAUGCUAAAGAGUUUGGACUUCAUCCACAGGGCCAUGGGAACUUGCUGAGGCAGGGGUGCAGAGUGAUCAGAGUUUCUCUCCAGAAAGUUCCUGUGGGCUAUUCUUUCUUUUUCUUUCUUCUUUUUUUUUUUUGAAAAGGUAUGUUAACUUUUAUUUUAAGUUCAGGAAUACGUAGGAAGGUUUGUCAUGCAGAUAAACUCAUGACUCAGGUGUUACUUAGCAGAUUAUUUAGUCACCAAGGUACUAAGCAUGGUACCCAACAGUUUUUUUUCCCCUGAAUCUCUACCUUCUACCACCCUCCUUCCUCAAGUAAGCUCCAGUAUCUGUUGUUUCCCUCCUUCUGUCCAUGUGUUCUUAUUAUUUAACUCCCACUUAUAUAUGAGAACAUGCAGUAUUUGGUUUUCUGUUCCUGCAUUAGUUUGCUAAGGAUAAGGACCUCCAAUUCCAUCCACAUUCCUGCAAAGGACAUGAUCUCUUCUUUUUUAGGGCUGCAUAGUAUUCCACAGUGUAUAUGUACUAUAUUUUCUUUAUCCAGUCUGCUGCUGAUGGGGGUUUUUGUUGAUUCCGUGUCUUUGCUAUUGUAAAUAGUACUACAAUGAACACAUGCAUGCAUAUGUCUUUAUCGUAGAAUGAUUUAUAUUCCUCUGGGUAUACACCAAGUAAUGGGAUUGCUAGGUCAAAUGGUAGUUCUGUUUUUAGUUCUUCGAAUAAUUGCUUAUGGGCUUUUCUGUGUAGCUUUGACUGGUGGAGAUUGGAAGACCAGGUAGGUAGCAGAGAGCUCCAGGUGACAGAUGCUGGUGACCUGAAUUAGGAUGUGGCCAGGGAGUUGAAAGGUUGGGCAUAAAGCAAAUAAUAACAGUUAACAUUAUGUAAAGCACAGUGUCACUGAUUGAAUUUUUACAAGUUUAAGCUGUAAGCACUACUAGUGUGUCCUUUUUACAGAUGAGAAACGUGAGGCAUGGAGAGGUUAAGUAACUUUCUUAAGUUUAAACAGCUUGUAAAUGACCCAGCUGGGAUUCAAACCCAGGCAGUUUAAUUCCAAGAUCCAUGCAUUUCACCCAUGUGCACUGACUGCUAUCUUGUUAGACUAUGAGCUUUCCAAAAAGUCAAGAUCCAAGGUCUGUAUUAUCCACAGCACUUGGCACAAAGUAUGGUGCCUGAUAGGUGCUUAAUUACUGUUGUUGAAGAAACGACUGAAUUGAUGAAUAGCACCUGACCCGCCUAACUUUGCAUAACUGCCUGGCUACUUUCUAGCUUUGACCAUUCCAGCAAGUUCUGUUUACCCUGUCAAACCUCCUUCUUCUCCUCUGUAACAGAGAUUUAAUUAGAAAACGAGGGGACUACCUCUCCGGGUUUCUUGGCACAUUCUGUGUGAUAACGAAUGUGAAAGUGUUUUGUAAAUGACGCAGUCUUCUGCCAGUGGUGGCUAUUACAAUUGCUAUUGUAGGAGCUGAGACGCCACAUUGGAAUUCCAGGCGGCAUUUUUUUUUCUGUUGAGCACCAGAAGCUUCCUUUUCCUUGGAAGUCUUCAGCACAAAUUAAUUAUUGCUAUCUGUGUCUAGAGGCUGUGGCCACCUGGCCAUCCAUCUCUUACUGACAGCUGAGGUUCCUAUGAGCUCAGGAGUAGGAAUCACUUCUCCUGGAGGCGGCUCCUUUUAUUCCCUAUUUACUUCUACUUUAAUCUGCAUAUUAUCAUCAGCACAAAGCCCUCAGAAUAACAUCUGACAAAUGACGCCUAUUAAAAAAAACUAUGCACUUCUCUUUCACCGUCUUCUAAUUUGGAAUAGCAUUAUAACUAUGCAUCGCUAGACAAGCAAUAUUAUGUUAAGAACAUGAUAAAAUACCAGCAGCUCUGUAAUGGCACCCACCAAAUGGUAAUUUCUGCUUCAGAAAUUGGUCAUUUAUUUGCUGGUCUGUUCUUACGUUCAAAUUAGAUGAAGUUUAAUAUACUGUAAAAUUGAAUAUAUUCUGUCCUUUUCAACAAAUAUGGCAUGUGUGAAAAUGAUUUAUGGCUCAUGGGAACCUCUAAAAUGUAAAAUAAUCUCUUUUUUUGUGUGUUUCUUAAGUAAGUUAUGGCCUGAGAGUUUAAACACAGGAAAAGCAAAACUUUAUUAAGCUCCAGGCCCUAGUUCUUCUGUAAUCAGGCCGUGGUAAGAACAGGAGCUGUGGCCCUGCGCAGAUUACAGUGGGCUGUAAGAGCAGCCACAUUAAUUGCUACAUUAAUUUUAUUCUAUUAACUAUAAUUGGGAGAAAAGCAAGUCUUCCCCAGUGAGUGUUAUAAUUUGCAACUUAAUUUUUAAUAAAGCUGUGUCAAGACCAUGGUGCUUAGCACAGGUCAUUUCUUUCAAUGGGUGUUUGGCAUCCUGCUGCUAGCCAACCAUAAGAAUAGCUGCUUGAAAUGUGUGGAUGGGGGCAAGAGAGAAAGGAGAGGAAGAUGAGGAGGGAGAGCUUACAAUCCUCCCAGGGAUCAGGGAUGAGGAACUCCUUUCUGGAAAAUGCUUGACUUUUCCCUUUCUUCUCCAUCUCCUGUUCUCCAUAGCCCCUCUCCAAGCCCAAGGGAAAACUUGAGAAGCCCAGAUGUCUAAGGCAGUGACCGUGCCACUGACUCACUUUAUGACUUCAGAUAAGUCAUUUGAACACUUGAGCCUUAACUUUCUCUUCUGUAAAAUGGGAGAUUAUAAUAAUGAUAGUAACUGACUUUUAUAAAAUCACAUGCAUCAUAGACCAGGUAGUGUUCCAAGAGCUUUAUAUGUAUAGUAUUCCAUUAAAUGCUCAUGGUCACCCCAUGAUGUUUGUAUGUUAUCAUUCCCCCAUUUUACAGAUAAGGAAACUGAGACACAGAGACAUUAUGUAACUUGCCCCAGGUCACACAAAUAGUAAGUGGUGGAGGCAGGGUUUGAUCCCAAUUUGUUCAACCUUGGAUUCCAUGCUUUAAACUGCUGGGCUAAGCUUGCCAGAAUUAUAAGGAAACGUAAGGGAGACGGUGGAUGAGAAUGGGCUUGGUGGUUCUUCAUUGGGAAGUCUUUUGUCCAACAAACACUAUUUGAUCCUUAUUUGCCAGACACAGCCCCCUGCACUGCGGCGGGACAUGGAUGAGAAGAAAAUUGUGAUCUUUUGUGCAAUUAAAAUAUCAUCUGGAAGUACUCUAUGAGCACACAUCUUUCACCCACCAGCUGAUUCCUGGUGACAGCAGAACUUCCUGCCACUCAGAUUUAGUGAGAAGUCCAGUUCCAGCAGGUAGAGAAGGGGAGGGAAUUAAUUUUUGUCAGAGUCAUUCCCGACAUGUGCCAGUUUACUUAUGCUAUUUGUUUCAUUCUCAUAACAACCUGACAAGGUAUACUUUAAUAUUCCUAUUUGACAGAUUAAAUAGCUGAGGGCUGGUCUGCAGCUAUAAGACUUACCCAUGAUCCCACAACUUCUUAGCCUCUCGACUUCCACCUUUAGUCCAGCUUCCCCUCUCAAAGCAGAUGACCCUGGUAGAUCUUACCUGGAGCCAAAGGGAACAAUUAGCCCAGAGCAAAAAGAAGUUUCUGAGCAGGUUACAGGGCAGUGGAGGAAAAUUUGGAGAUACAAUGGCAACCCAGGGUAGUGUAGAGGCUAAGAGCAGAACAAACAAAAAUGUAAUUGAUAAAGGAGCAUAGAAAUUACCGAUGGAGACUUUCAGCCAAUCAGACCUGGGUUUAAAUUUUAGCUCCUUCAUUCCUAGCUAAGUGACAUAAGCUCUUGGAGCCUCGGUUUCCUCAUUUCAAACAAGGCCAUAGUGAAAUGUUGACUUCCUAGUAUUGCUGUGAGAAUUUAAUGAGAUGCUCUUUGAGUGAAUGAUCUUAGCCCUUGUGCCCUGCAGAGAGAAAGCUCCUAAUUAAAGAUUACUCUAAUUAUAUUAGGAAUUCUUGUUCUCGGGUCAUGUUGAAGAAGAACAUCACAACCAACACAGUCCUCAGUAUAAUUGGGAAAUAUUCACCCCAUAAUUUAUAAUGGGCUUUCUUCUCAGCUCUUUCCCUUUAGGCUAGGGCAAUUUAUCAAAUAUACAGCAAUCCCCAGCUGACCAGUGAAGAAAGAAAGACACAUUAACCCACUGUUGCUCCCUCUGCUUCUCUCGGUCUGGGCUGGGACCCUGGACUCUGUGUGUUUCAUGCAUGCUUUAGGUGACUCCUAUGACUGGGUCAAUUUGGGAAACUUUACACCGGGUGGUGGUUCUCAGCUAUACUGUGAAUAUCAGCCACCUGGGGAAUUUUUUACAUUGCAAAUUUCUGAUCCUCCCUCCACCCCUACAAAACUGAAAUUCAGAAUGUGGGAUCCCAAAAUCUGCAUCUUGGUUUGGUUUACUCGUGUUUUCUAAUUACAGCCUCAAUUUUCAUCAAACUAUUUUAUAGUUGUUUCCAUAUCUAGUGUCUCUGUAUCUCCAGUGUCCAUCAUGGGGUGCUGAAUGCUCAAUGGGUUCAGGGGAAUUCAUGGACUCAUUCAGUUAUUCACCUAUUUAUUGAGCAACUAGGUUUUGACUGAGGUUCUCGUAGUAUUCUUAGUGCUGAAUUACAACAGAAUAAAAUGAUGUGCUGAUGCCCCAAUAUAUGUUUCUAAAAAUCUAAGUUCCUCCUUCAUAAUUUAUAAAAUAUUCCCGAUUUAUUUGGGGGAGAGAUUAACCUCAUUUCGCAUAUAAUGAAACUUCUAAAUAAAAAGAGGCAGUUGUUUUCUGGGGAACUGGGGCAAGUGACUUAACCUCUAAGGAGCUUGGUUUUCUGGUCAGGAAAUAUGAUAAUACUCACAUGGUAGGUUGUUCUGAGGGUCAUCCCAGAUGCUUGCAGAGUACCUGGUACACAAUAGGGGCUUGGAAAAUGGUAGAUAUUCAAAAAGAUACACACACUCGUAUGCUCCUCACAGCACUAUUCACAAUAGCAAAGACAUGGAAGCAACCUAGGUGCUCAUCAGUGGUGGACUGGAAAAAGAAAACAUGGUACAUAUAUAGUAUGGAAUACUAUACAGCCAUUAAAAAAUAGGCAGGCAGAUCACAAGGUCAAGAGUUCAAGACAAGCCUGGCCAACAUGAUGAAACCCUGUCCCUAUUAAAAAUACAAAAAUUAGCCAGGCGUGUUAGCGUAUGUCUGUAAUCUCAGCUACUCAGAAGGCUGAGGCAGGAGAAUGGUUUGAACCCUGGAGGCAGAGAUUGAAGUAAGCAGAGAUCACGCCAUUGCACUCCAGCCUGGCAACAGAGUGAGACUCCAUCUAAAAAAAAAAGAAUGAAAUUAUGCCUUUUGCAGCAACAUGGAUGCAGCUGGAGGCCAUUAUUCUAAGUGAAUUAACACAGAAACAGAAAAACAAAUACCACAUAUUCUCACUGAUAAUUGGAAGCUAAACACUGGGUACACAUGGACGUAGAGAUGGGAACAAUAGACAGUGGGGACUCCAAGCGGGGGAGGGAGGGCAGGUACUCCCUGAUCCUGAAAUAAAAGUUGAAAUUAAAAAAAAAAGAAAAUGGUAGAUAUUAAUAACACAGUCUUAAUUAUAAAGAAAUUGUCUAAAGAAUAGUGUUAACUGGACAUUAUUUUCUCUGAUGCCUAUUCCCAGGUGAAUAGCCAGGUAAAAACUAUUAAUUCUGUAAAUUCAUCUGACAUGCCCUGUGCUCUUUGUCUAAUUUCGGAGAAUUUUUUUCUUCCCUCUCCAUAUCUGUUUCCUUGCUGCUGCAUAUGCAGAUUAAUAAUUUCCAUCUUGGCGUUUUCCUUUUUCUCUCUAUUACUUCCCAUCUUUUUCCUUUGUCACCUCUCUCCUUUUCUUACUUUCACCCCUCUUGAUCUUCUCACUUUCCUCUUCCUCAUUACAUCCUAACGUAUAUCUUUUUUUUUUUUUUUUCUGAUUUUCCAUCUUCUCUUUUUGGCCUCUCAGGAGCCCAAAGAAGUUCUUCAAUGUUUGUUCAUGAAAAUAGUGUGUUCCUUAUUAUUAAUGUUAAAGUGGAUAAGCUGAAUGCUUCAUCUUCCUCUUUCAAACCAACAACAAAAAGAGGAAAGGCAUCACUUUACAAUAAAAUCAAAUCACUUUUUUUCUUUUUAUUGUGUGACUGUCAAUGGAAGCGUAACCCAUGCCUGCGUGUCAGCAGCGACAGCAGUGGUGUAUUUCCUACAGAAUGAAAGAGAA
rnacentral:lncRNA from 10 species